AAAGAGAGGAUUCUUUACCCUCCAGCCCACUCCGGUGGUGUCGGUUGCUACCUGUAAGAUUAUUGCAUGGACUCCCACCAACAACAAGAUCGAAUCCACCAAAUGAGUUCAUCAACUGCUCUAACCUGUCAGCAUUCAGUUGUUGCACAUCCACAAUGUCAAUCAAGUUCCCUGUCUGGUUGGUUUGCUCCCACCAGCACCUAAUAAUAUUUCUGUUUACUUCUGAGAUCUCAACAGAAACAACGUUCUUCAAUCGAAUCCCCAGCCGAUGAAGUGCAACUUCUGCACCACCAAUCCCAGAGAAAAGAGAAAGAAGAUUGAUUCCCCCAGGGAACAAGUCUUUCAAAACUGACAGAUGGUAGGCAACAGUAUCAACCUGGAAUGAGUUACCAAGUGAUUUAUAUCUAUCAGUCCUACUUAUUCCACCUCCCCUUGUGUGGUUCCUCGGGAAACCCAAAAGCAUUUCUACUUCAUCUGGUUCAAGUGGAGCAACUUUAUUCCUGCCAACCCAGACUAGAUUCCAUUUACGGCAUUCAUCAAGAACAAACUUCUGGAUGGAUAAAGGUGGAUCUCCUUCAUAGUCCUCAAUGGCUUUGCGGAUCCUAUCUGUCAGUUUUGCACUCCCAACGCAAGUCUGCAAGCAAUUUAGUUGUGUCCUUGCGUCCCAUGAAGGCCACCAUUUCUUUGUCAAAGGUAGUGCUUCAUGUA
rnacentral:misc_RNA from 1 species